ensembl:snoRNA U3 Small nucleolar RNA U3
AAGACUACUUUCAAGCAUAAUUUCUAAGGUGUGUUACUAGAGGAGUUUCUCUGAACAUGUGAGCACUGGAAUACGGGAAGAGAAAGUGCAGUGUUCUCUCCUUAGUGUGAAACGGACCUUUGGUGUUGCUUUGCUGCAACUGCCAUUUGCCUUGGGUGAUCAUUCUUCUCUUCCUCUGGGAGAGUAAGAGGACACAGUUGGU